GCGCUUGUUUCAGCAGCACGUAUACUAAAAUUGGAACAAUACAGAGAUUAGCAUGGCCCCUGUGCAAGGAUGACACGAAAAGAAAAAAAAAUUUAAAAAAAAGA